UCUAGACCCAGCUGGUCUCGAACUUCUGGCCUCAAGAAAUCUACCCGCCUCAGCCUCUCAAACUGCUGGGAUUGCAGGCAUGAACCCUGGGGCUGGUCUGGGAAAAACAGUAACAAGUGAAGAGCAAAAGACAAUGUGACAGACAACUUCUGCCAGGGCUUGUAACGAUCCCACCUCUUGGUGUACCUGUCCUUGGCGGAACCUCCUCCCCAUAUGUGUGGGCUGGACUUGGUGGCAUGCUUCUGGGCCCAUGUAGCAUGGAACCAAAGGUAAACUCCAGCCAACCACCAUCAAAGAACUGAGGCCCUCAACUAUUACAUGCCCUGAGAUACAGAAGCGCGCAAGACCAACAAGAUCCGUGAGCUUACAUUUGAAGGCAAAGAAAGCUGGAAAAUCUUAUGAAGUA
rnacentral:lncRNA from 1 species